CGGACGGGUGAGUAAUGCGUAGGAAUUUACCUCAAAGCGGGGGAUAGCCCGGAGAAAUCCGGAUUAAUACCGCAUGUGCUCUACGGAGGAAAGCGGGCCUCUUCUUGAAAGCUCGCACUUUGAGAUAAGCCUACGUCGGAUUAGCUUGUUGGUAGGGUAAAGGCCUACCAAGGCGACGAUCCGUAGCUGGUUUGAGAGGAUGAUCAGCCACACUGGGACUGAGACACGGCCCAG
rnacentral:rRNA from 1 species